UGUCCUCCAAGCCAAUGUGCAGCCUGACUCUGGGGCCAGCGCCUGAGGAAGCCCUCCCUGAGCCCCAGCCCUGGGGAAGGCUGAAGAGGCCUCUGAGCUCCCAGCGCUGGGGAGCGCUGUGCAGAAUAGGACUGGAGGCAGUUUGGGGUUUCAGCAGGUGGCCCAGUGCUGAGACACAAGGGAGUUGUUUCUGGUCUGCAGACACUGAGGACACUUGCUAUGUGGCGUGGUGGAUGGUGGCUUCCAAUUGUGGACAAGAUAAGGACCAUUGCCCAGGCUGUCUAUGGAGCCAAAGAUAUCGAACUCUGUCCUGAGGCACAAGUCAAAAUAGAUCGUUACACUCAGCAGGGUUUUGGAAAUUUGCCCAUCUGCAUGGCAAAGACCGAUCUUUCUCUGUCUCACCAACCUGACAAAAAAGGUGUGCCAAGUGACUUCAUCUUACCUAUCAGUGAUGUCCGGGCCAGCAUAGGUGCUGGGUUCAUUUACCCUUUGGUCGGAACGAGAAUCUCCCCUCUGGCUCUAGUUGGAGAAUCCCAACCCAAGCAAGUCCAUCUUUGAACAAUAAACAUCUCCAGUACUGCUGGCUUUGGAAGACCCCAUGGUGAGAUGCUGGAGCUUUUUUCCGCUCCUGAUUUCACUUUCUAAAUAUUUACUUUUACUUUCCAUGUUCACUUGUAGGCCAGAUUUUUUUUUUUCCUACCAUUGAAUUAUUUCAUCAUGUUCUAUUUAAUUAUUGUUUUAAUUGGCAUUGGUGACCACAAAUAAUAAUAAAUACUAUUAACUGAU
rnacentral:lncRNA from 1 species